rnacentral:rRNA from 1 species
CGGUGUUCAACUGGCGUGCCCGCGGGACGUCCUGCCGGUGAGCUCAUCCCGCGAGGGCGGCUCAACUUGAAAUCCCAUCGCGGUGCUCUUCAUUGAGUGUCGAGGUGGGCCCGGCACGAUUACUUUUGAACAAAUUAGAGUGCUUAAAGCAGGCUAAAAUUUUGCCUGAAUACUGUGUAUAUGGAAUAAUGGAAUAGGACCUCGGUUCUAUUUUGUUGGUUUUCGGAACCCCCGAGGUAAUGAUUAAUAGGAACGGAUGGGGGCAUUCGUAUUGCGACGUUAGAGGUGAAAUUCUUGGAUCGUCGCAAGACGGACUAAAGCGAAAGCAUUUGCCAAAAACGCUUUCAUUGAUCAAGAACGAAAGUUAGAGGUUCGAAGGCGAUCAGAUACCGCCCUAGUUCUAACCAUAAACUAUGCCAGCUAGCGAUCCGCCGACGUCCCUCUGAUGACUCGGCGGGCAGCUUCCGGGAAACCAAAGCUUUUGGGUUCCGGGGGAAGUAUGGUUGCAAAGCUGAAACUUAAAGGAAUUGACGGAAGGGCACCCCCAGGAGUGGAGCCUGCGGCUUAAUUUGACUCAACACGGGAAACCUCACCAGGCCCAGACACUGGAAGGAUUGACAGAUUGAGAGCUCUUUCUUGAUUCAGUGGGUGGUGGUGCAUGGCCGUUUUUAGUCGGUGGAGCGAUUUGUCAGGUUAAUUCCGAUAACGGACGAGACUCUGACCUGAUAACUAGACGCACUUGCGGCAUCUCAAAGGUCCGCCGGCGGCUGGCUUUGCGCCCGUCGUCGCGCGCGAUUUUUACUGCCGGCGUACAAUAAAUUCUUCUUAGAGGGACAAGUGG